rnacentral:pre_miRNA from 1 species
GGGGGGAGGCCAGAUCCUGGGCUGUGUCCCUGGCGCCCUGUGAUCCCGGGCCUGUGCUGUUGGAUUAGCGCUCCCAGCGCACAGCCCCCU